ACUUUAUUAUUUAGACCCUGGGUCUCCAAACACUCAGGUCUCCAAACCCAAGUCAGAGAGCAGGAUGCUGCUUUGGUUCAAGAUGUAGGAGCAGCAACAAUACAGGGCUGGUGACAGCUCCCUCCUGGCAUUCAGUAUAGUGUAGAUCUACCGUGUAAUUGAUUUUCUGCUUCUUUGAGGAGCUGUGAAACCAAGGGACAUAAACAAUUGCUCUUUUCUCCCUGUUUCUGCCUGUAGCUUGAAUGUGAGGCAACUGUGAAAAGUGCAGGGCAGAGCCACCUGGGUAAAUACAGCCCUGGCUUUCUGGUGAGAGGACUGAAACCAGGAUGUGUCAAGUAACUAGAAUGUGCCUGGACAGAUACUGUAGAAAGCAAACCCAUAAAGUUGUUCAUGAGCUUGUGGAUGCACCUGCCAGCUGUGAAUAAGUGGCUCUAAUCCCAAACAACUUACCUAAAAAGAGCCUGAGGACUGAACUGAACAAUGGUCCACUUUCCAGUCCUCACUGACCACUGGUUGCACACACUCCAGAGAUCUCUCAACCGCAGUGUCAAGGCUUUCAAAUAGAGUUAUCUGUGAAACGACAACACAUGGAAGUCUGGUUGGUACUUGGAGCUUAAAUACAAGGCAACUGUGUGCCUGCAAAAACAAAAAUAUCAAUAUUAUCCUUAAGAUUUCAACAAGACACAGUGUCUCAUCACAUAAUCCAAAGAAGUCCAGGUUACAAGCCCCAAAAUAUUCAGCAUUAUGAAAAACCAGGGAGAUCUUAACUCACAUGGCAAAGAGAAUCCUUGAAUAACAAUAUUGAGAGGACACAUAUGUCAAAAUCAUCUGACACAUACAUUAAAGCAGUUAUUAUAACAAUGCUCCUAGAAUUACGGGAUAGCAUUCAUGAAGUGAAUGGAAAGUUGGAAAGUCUCACCAAAUAUUUGGAAUAUGUAAACACCAAUUUAAACUUAAGAAUUAAAAAAAGUAUUAACCAAAACUAUUAGGGGAAAUAAAAUGCUUAAUUGGAUGAUCUCAAUAGCAGUAUGCAAAAGACUAAGGAAAGAGUCAAUGAACUUGAAAACAGAACAAGAAUACCUACAUAAUCUGACCUAUAGAAAGAAAGGAGGAUUUUAUUGUCCCUGAACAGAGGCUCAGGGACAAAUAAAAAAUAACAAAUCUAACAUUCACAUUAUUGUAAUCUGGAAACAUUCACAUUAUUGUAAGAGGACAAAGAGGUCUUUGUGGGAUAAAACUGUGAAGAAUUAAUGGCUGAAAAUAUAUCAAAUUUGUCAAAAGAUAUAAACCAGAUUUUUAAAGUUCAGUAAAUGUCAAGCAGGAUAAACCAAGAGAAACCCAUUGCAAGACAUAUCAUAAUCAAACUGCGGAAAAUUAAGAAAAUACAAAACAAUUUUGAAAGCAGCCAAAGGGAAAUAAAAGAUAAAAUACCAAAUGAAUGAUUGUAGAUUUCUCAUCAGGAACCCAGGAGCCAGAAAAAAAUGUCAUAACAUUCAGUAAGUACCAAAGGAAAAAUACAUUAUCAACCCAGAAUGGUAUGUGGAGCAAAAGUAUCUUCCAGACAUAAAGGCAAAUAAAUACAUUCUCAUUGGAAGGUAAAUAAAUACAUUCUCAGUCCUAGCAAAACUGCUGGAAAAGAAUUAGCAAAGGUUUGAGAUAAGAAAAGUGAUACCAGAAGGAAACUUAGAACAUCAUCAGUGAAGGAACAAAAGCAGAAAUAGAAAAUGUCUGGGUAGACAUAACAGACUAUUAUUCUUCUCUUGAGUUCCUUAAGAGAAUGAGUAGCCACUGCUGUUUGCCCUGGCCCAUCAAUGAGAAGAUCUGCUCUUAGAGCCCUGCUUUCCUGCUGAAGGCCCCGAAAUCACCUGUGUUCCAGGCCACCCGCUAACAAUAAAUAAUGCUCCCCUGAUGUGGGGAAUUAGCUCAAGUGGUAGAGCGCUUGCUUAGCAUGCAAGAGGUAGUGGGAUCGAUGCCCACAUUCUCCAAGCUUUAUUAUUUAGACAUCGUGUCUCCAAACACUCAGGUCUCCAAACCCAAGUUAGUGUCUGAGAACAGGAUGCUGCUUUGGUUCAAGACGUAGGAGCAGCAAUAAUAGAGGGCUGGUGAUGGCUCCCUCUUGGCAUUCAGUAUAGUGUAGAUCUACCAUGUAAUUAAUUCUCUGUUUCUUUGAGGAGCUGUGAAACCAAGGGACAUAUACAACUGCUCUUUUCUCCCUGUUUCUACCUGCAGCUUUGUCCUAAAUGUGAGACAAUUAUGAAAAGUGCAGGGCAGAGCCACUUGGGUAAAUACAGCCCCGGCUUUCUGCUCAGGGGACAGAGUUUGAGGCACUGCAGAGGAACCAGCCAAAGUAUGAGACCCAUAUGUUGAGAGUGACAGUGUAAAGUUCAAAAAAAUCAAAAUGUUUAAAGAUUUAUCAUGGGUCUUGAUGACAUGAUGGAAUCUCUCUACUCUCUGGACUGAUUAUGUGUGGUAAUAAAUUUACUUUUUAAAAGCC
rnacentral:tRNA from 1 species